AUGAGGCACAGUCUGGAAAGGAGACACUGUGGGGAGUUAGUCUGCUCUCUUCAAGGAUUGUCUGUCUUGCAUUCCUCAAGGAGUUUCCAGACUUGGAAGAGAGAAACACAGGGGCCAAAAGCCUCAAUCCUAGAAAUGACAGUGAUGACAGAGAAGGAUCAGAGGAGGGAAGCCAGUGAGCAUCCUCUGGGUUAAGAUGCCCUGUCCACAAAGAAGGGAGUCUAGUAACAGUCUGCUUGCUGAGGUUCUGUUGGGCCACAGGCUCAGUCCAGCUGCUGUGUGAAUUUCCUCUGGCUUUUGUUUACACAGGUAAGAUUAGAGCCACCUCAGCAAUGGCAGACACCCUUUCCCCCCCUGGACUUGAUCAUCCCAGAUGGAGCUCAAACUGAUGUGCUGGUUGUGAAGCUUUCAAG
rnacentral:lncRNA from 1 species